UGGGGAAUAUUGCACAAUGGGCGCAAGCCUGAUGCAGCCAUGCCGCGUGUGUGAAGAAGGCCUUCGGGUUGUAAAGCACUUUCAGCGGGGAGGAAGGCGAUAAGGUUAAUAACCUUGUCGAUUGACGUUACCCGCAGAAGAAGCACCGGCUAACUCCGUGCCAGCAGCCGCGGUAAUACGGAGGGUGCAAGCGUUAAUCGGAAUUACUGGGCGUAAAGCGCACGCAGGCGGUCUAUCAAGUCGGAUGUGAAAUCCCCGGGCUUAACCUGGGAACUGCAUUCGAAACUGGCAGGCUAGAGUCUUGUAGAGGGGGGUAGAAUUCCAGGUGUAGCGGUGAAAUGCGUAGAGAUCUGGAGGAAUACCGGUGGCGAAGGCGGCCCCCUGGACAAAGACUGACGCUCAGGUGCGAAAGCGUGGGGAGCAAACAGG
rnacentral:rRNA from 1 species